rnacentral:rRNA from 1 species
AUACGUAGGUGGCAAGCGUUGUCCGGAUUUACUGGGUGUAAAGGGCGUGUAGGCGGAGAUGCAAGUCAGGAGUGAAAUCUAGGGGCUCAACCCCUAAACUGCUUUUGAAACUGUAUCCCUUGAGUAUCGGAGAGGCAGGCGGAAUUCCUAGUGAAGCGGUGAAAUGCGUAGAUAUUAGGAGGAACACCAGUGGCGAAGGCGGCCUGCUGGACGACAACUGACGCUGAAGCGCGAAAGCCAGGGGAGCAAACGGGAUUAGAUACCCCGGUAGUCCUGGCAGUAAACGAUGUAUGCUGGGUGUGAGACUAGCGAUAGUUUCGUGCCGAAGUUAACGCGAUAAGCAUACCGCCUGGGGAGUACGGUCGCAAGAUUGAAACUCAAAUGAAUUGACGGGG